UUUAUAUAAAUAUAUUUUCUAAACUAUUUCUAAUAUAUGAGUGUUUUAAAACUUUUAACACAAUAAUAAGUACAUAGUUUGAUGGACGUUUUUUUGACAUAUAUAAAUAAUUUGAUGUUCUAUUUAACUAUUUAAAAUCAUAAAUAAUAACUUAACUUGUGAUUGAGUUCAAAACAAUUUUUUUUGCUUUUACUUCAAACCAGUUUAAGUUUAAUCUGUGAAACACUAUAGUUUCAGUUGGUGACCACUAGAAGAAUGACAAAAAAUGAACAAAAUAAAAAAUAAAAUUUCAUUUGAGGAAUUGAAAAAAAAAAAAAAUAUGAAUUAUGUUCAAUUUGUUCCUUAUCAAAAUUGCAUAGGGAAAUUUUUUCUUAUAAAUUCAUUCCUCCACGGGGAAUUUAGAAGAAAAAAGUGGGAUCUACCUUUCAAUAAUUUGAAUAAAAUUUCAGCAUAUCUCGUAUAAAUUUUGAGGAACAAAAAAUUCACCAUAAUUUUUUUCCUUCAACAUGUUCACCAAUUAGAGUUUUAUAAUGCUGAUUUUUGGAUUAAUAAAAUAUAAAAUAAUAAGUAUUCAUAAGAUGAUUAUGCCCGUAUGUGCGGACAAAACACCUAGUACAUACAUAUGUACAAUAAUCUAUAAAAGAAACUAUCAAAGAUAAAUAUAAACAUUUAACAUAACCUUUUUUUGUGUGUUCAUAUUUAAAAUUGCAGAAAGAAAUAGAACUGAUACAAAGCCCCUUGGACUUUAGUGUAUUUAGAGCCUAGCCCAUUAAGUUUAUAGUUAAACACAUAGUAAAGAACUAUCAAUUACCCAAGUAAAGCCCAUGAGUUGGUAAAGGAGAUGAUGACGAUGAUUACGAGAGACGGAGAGUCGGGGAGACGAUCAUCGUCCGUCAGUUGAGAACCACAACUGCAUCAAGAGAGAAGAUUAGCGAGGCAAUGAUUCCCCGAGACUUUGAAUCUUGUUCCUAAUCAGUCUGUCCAGGAGGGUGAGGAUAGCGUCAGUCGAUCGGUACACCUGCUGAUGGAUACGCAUGUUUCGCUCUUUCCAAAUAGAGUAGAUCGUUGCUUGCCACACUAGAAGGAGUAGUUUACGCUUGUUCCUGCUGCCUUGAAAGAGUUGCAGCUGGUUGACAGUUUCUUCCCAUCUCGGCCUUGCGUGGUGUCCGCAUCGCAACGCCAUCCGAUUCCAGAUUUGGAAGCUAAACGGACAUUCAAAGAAGAGGUGAUCGCGAGCGUCUUGGCCAGAGUUACAUAACACACAAAGUGUAUCAACCUGGAGUCCCCAGCUUACUAGUCUGUCCUUUGUGGGACAUCUGUUGAGCAUGACUAGCCAAGUGAGGAAGUUGUGGCGGGGGAUCCCGUGUAGGAGCACCAGACAAUCUUCGACCAAAGCUUGGUAGUAACAUCUCUUAAGUAUAAACUGAACCACAGGUGGCAGUGACCAAUGACCAUUGUUGUGGAGCGAUGCUAUUGUAGCAGUUUCGGGGAUCCCUAGUCUCGUCGUGUUGCCUUGUAGGAAGGAGUUCAGGCAGCCAAAAGGCGACCAAUUGUCAUACCAGAAGCUAGUCGAGAGCCCAUUACCUAACCUUCGCUUGAUAAGAGGGUAGCAGAGGUCUCUAGUCUUUAUCAGCUUCUUCACCAGCCAUGAAUGAGUAGAGCUGGGCUUAAUUUUCCAUAACUACACAUUUGGUUUUAGAGGAAUUAACCGGAUUGAUUGAUUAAA